rnacentral:lncRNA from 1 species
AUCAAUUACAUAUGGGUUCCAAACUGAAGGAAUGUUAUGGUAAAACUUCGUUUAAAACGAUGUGGUAGAAAGCAACGUGCGACUUGAAGGACAUGAUCCGCUGUGGAGUCUUACAUCCACCAUUUUUAUAUAUAUUAUAUAGGAAUAUAUAGGAAUGAAAGUGCUCUUGGCUCGACAUCAUUUGUUCUAUUCCGCUGUAACCCCCUUUUUUUUGGGGGGGGUGGUAUAAUAUAGUAUAGGAUGGAGCUCGAGUAGAAAGUAUUUUUUUCUUUUUCAGGGGCAAGAAUCUAGGGUUAGUAUCAAUCAACAAAUUGGAACAACUUCGUAAGUAUAUUUUCGAUACAUAAACUUAAAGGGGCCCAUUCGAGAAAAUUUCCAAUUCCAAGGGAAGGUUUGAAAUUGGUAAAACUUUUUCGAUCAAAUCAAAAGGAAAGUGUAUUACGCAGGAAUCCAACAUUUGUAUGAUUCUUUGACAGAAGGAAAUCGCAAAAAAUGGUAUGUUGCUGCCGUUUUGAAAGGAUUUAAAGAUCACCGAAGUAAUGUACUAAACCCAAUGAUUCAAGGCAAAGAUCCUGGAACAAGGAAAUACCUUUUUCAAUUGUCUUAACAACUAGAUCAGAAUGAAGAAUCAAAAUGGAUUCUAAAGAAGACAAUUAAAGGGUUAGAGACCGCUCAAUAGAUGAAAUAUCUAAAAGGUUGUUCUUUUGAGUUAUUUCAGAGUUAUCCAACUUGAGUUAUGAGGGUGCAAAUACGACUAAUUUUCUUUUUGUUGGAUAAGAAUAAGAAAAUAAAGUAAAAUCAAUAGUCUAAUUAAUUUGAUGAUUUUAUGGAUAUAUUUGAUAUUGUAAUUUUAUACAUAGACAUAAUUUCGAAUUUUCUCGAGCCGUACGAGGGAAAAACCUCUUAUACGUUUCUAGGGGGGGUAUUGUUCAUCUAUCCCAAUGAGCCAUUUAUCGAAUAGUUGCAAUUGAUGUUCGAGCUCGACGAGAGGGAAGAGAUCUUCGG